GAUGAACGCUGGCGGCGUGCCUAAUACAUGCAAGUCGAGCGAACAGACGAGGAGCUUGCUCCUCUGACGUUAGCGGCGGACGGGUGAGUAACACGUGGAUAACCUACCUAUAAGACUGGGAUAACUUCGGGAAACCGGAGCUAAUACCGGAUAAUAUAUUGAACCGCAUGGUUCAAUAGUGAAAGACGGUUUUGCUGUCACUUAUAGAUCGAUCCGCGCCGCAUUAGCUAGUUGGUAAGGUAACGGCUUACCAAGGCAACGAUGCGUAGCCGACCUGAGAGGGUGAUCGGCCACACUGGAACUGAGACACGGUCCAGACUCCUACGGGAGGCAGCAGUAGGGAAUCUUCCGCAAAGGGCGAAAGCCUGACGGAGCAACGCCGCGUGAGUGAUGAAGGUCUUCGGAUCGUAAAACUCUGUUAUUAGGGAAGAACAAAUGUGUAAGUAACUAUGCACGUCUUGACGGUACCUAAUCAGAAAGCCACGGCUAACUACGUG
rnacentral:rRNA from 1 species